rnacentral:rRNA from 1 species
UCUAGCUUGCUAGAAGAUGACGAGCGGCGGACGGGUGAGUAAUACUUAGGAAUCUACCUAGUAGUGGGGGAUAGCACGGGGAAACUCGUAUUAAUACCGCAUACGACCUACGGGAGAAAGGGGGCAGUUUACUGCUCUCGCUAUUAGAUGAGCCUAAGUCGGAUUAGCUAGAUGGUGGGGUAAAGGCCUACCAUGGCGACGAUCUGUAGCUGGUCUGAGAGGAUGAUCAGCCACACCGGGACUGAGACACGGCCCGGACUCCUACGGGAGGCAGCAGUGGGGAAUAUUGGACAAUGGGGGAAACCCUGAUCCAGCCAUGCCGCGUGUGUGAAGAAGGCCUUUUGGUUGUAAAGCACUUUAAGCAGUGAAGAAGACUCCUCGGUUAAUACCCGUGGACGAUGACAUUAGCUGCAGAAUAAGCACCGGCUAACUCUGUGCCAGCAGCCGCGGUAAUACAGAGGGUGCAAGCGUUAAUCGGAAUUACUGGGCGUAAAGGGAGCGUAGGUGGCUCGAUAAGUCAGAUGUGAAAUCCCCGGGCUCAACCUGGGAACUGCAUCUGAUACUGUUGAGCUAGAGUAUGUGAGAGGAAGGUAGAAUUCCAGGUGUAGCGGUGAAAUGCGUAGAGAUCUGGAGGAAUACCGAUGGCGAAGGCAGCCUUCUGGCAUAAUACUGACACUGAGGCUCGAAAGCGUGGGUAGCAAACAGGAUUAGAUACCCUGGUAGUCCACGCCGUAAACGAUGUCUAUAGUCGUUGGGUCCCUUGAGGACUUAGUGACGCAGCUAACGCAAUAAGUAGACCGCCUGGGGAGUACGGCCGCAAGGUUAAAACUCAAAUGAAUUGACGGGGGCCCGCACAAGCGGUGGAGCAUGUGGUUUAAUUCGAUGCAACGCGAAGAACCUUACCUGGUCUUGACAUAUCUAGAAUCCUGCAGAGAUGCGGGAGUGCCUUCGGGAAUUARAAUACAGGKGCUGCAUGGCUGUCGUCAGCUCGUGUCSKGRRAUGUUGGGUUAAGUCCCGCAACGAGCGCAACCCUUGUCCUUAGUUACCAGCGGGUUAAGCCGGGAACUCUAAGGAUACUGCCAGUGACAAACUGGAGGAAGGCGGGGACGACGUCAAGUCAUCAUGGCCCUUACGACCAGGGCUACACACGUGCUACAAUGGUAGGUACAGAGGGCAGCUACACAGCGAUGUGAUGCGAAUCUCAAAAAGCCUAUCGUAGUCCAGAUUGGAGUCUGCAACUCGACUCCAUGAAGUAGGAAUCGCUAGUAAUCGCGGAUCAGAAUGCCGCGGUGAAUACGUUCCCGGGCCUUGUACACACCGCCCGUCACACCAUGGGAGUUGAUUGCACCAGAAGUGG